GAUGAACGCUGGCGGCGUGCCUAAUACAUGCAAGUCGAGCGAACGGACGCGACGCUUGUUUCUUUGAUGUUAGCGGCGGACGGGUGAGUAACACGUGGAUAACCUACUUAUAAGACUGGGAUAACUUCGGGAAACCGGAGCUAAUACCGGAUAAUAUUUUGAACCGCAUGGUUCAAAAGUGAAUGACGGCCUUGCUGUCACUUAUAGAUGGUUCCGCGCUGCAUUAGCUAGUUGGUAAGGUAACGGCUUAUCAAGGCGACGAUGCAUAGCCGACCUGAGAGGGUGAUCGACCACACGAGAACUGAGACACGGUCCAGGCUCCUACGGGAGGCAGCAGUAGGGAAUCUGCCGCAAUGGGCGGAAGCCUGACGGAGCAACGCCGCGUGAGUGAUGAAGGUCUUCGGAUCGUAAAACUCUAUUAUUAGGGAAGAACAGAUGUGUAAGGAACUGUGCACAUCUUGACGGUACCUAAUCAAGAAGCCACGGCUAACUACGUG
rnacentral:rRNA from 1 species